rnacentral:rRNA from 1 species
GACGAACGCUGGCGGCGUGCUUAAGACAUGCAAGUCGUACGAGAAAGUCUCCUCGGAGAUGAGUAAAGUGGCGCACGGGUGAGUAACGCGUGGGUAAUCUGCCCUUAGGUUUGGGAUAACCCCGGGAAACCGGAGCUAAUACCGAAUGAGACCACGACGACCUCGGUCGAUGUGGGAAAAGGUGGCCUCUUCUUGAAAGCUAUCGCCAAAGGAUGAGCCCGCGUUUGAUUAGCUAGUUGGUGAGGUAAUGGCUCACCAAGGCGACGAUCAAUAGCUGGUCUGAGAGGAUGAUCAGCCACACUGGAACUGAGAUACGGUCCAGACUCCUACGGGAGGCAGCAGUCAGGAAUAUUGGGCAAUGGGCGAAAGCCUGACCCAGCAACGCCGCGUGAAGGAUGAAGGCCCUCGGGUCGUAAACUUCUGUCGAGAGGGAAGAAUGCGUACGGGUGAACAAUCCGUGCGUUUGACGGUACCUCCAAAGGAAGCACCGGCUAACUCCGUGCCAGCCGCCGCCGUAACAC